ensembl:snoRNA SNORA72 Small nucleolar RNA SNORA72
ACCCCAAUUUUUUAAAACAAAUCUGAGGGGGAAAAAAUGACCAUAUGUGUUGCCAGAGAUAGUUCUUCCCUAGGUCUGGUUUUACAAAUUCUGGUAAUAAAC